AAGCACGUAUUUAUAUGAAUACCCCUAUAAAAAUUUAAAGGAAUAAUUGUUUAUAUACUACUUGUACGUUUGAAAAUAUCCGAUUUACUCUUACUUUUUUUUUCUUUCUAAAAUACCCCUCAUAUAUUCCACCAUUAUUGCAAAAUAUUUCCGCAGUUAUCUCCUCUUAAGUUAACUUGGAUUAAACAUGAGUUAAAUAUCUACCACAAGUAAAAUAAAUUAAAAUAUCAGUUUUGCCCUUAACUUAAGGGCAAAUAAGAAAUAUUGGUGUCGGUAGAGGGGUAUAUUGGAAAAGAUCAAAAGUUAAAAUACUUUUUGUGCCCCUGACUUUAAAGGCAAAUAAGAAAGUCAGUGAUGGUGGAAGGGUAUAUUUGAAAUGGCAAAAUAAUAAUUUUACAGAGAUAACAGAGUUAAUUAACAGAUUUUAACUCUAGGGGUAUAUUAGAAAUAGGUUGAAACGUAAAAAGGGUAUUUUCAAUAUUAGCCUUCUAAAAGAGAUAAAUCAGAAAGUUGGAAACUUUUCAGGGGCAUAUAAGCAAUUGCAUCUUAAAUCUUCCUCUAAAUAUAGAAAAUUUUCAGAAAUACCCUUCAAAACACAUUUUUAUUAAAAUCUACGAUAACGGUAGCCAAAAUAUCGAUUUUAUCCUUUUCAUAAUUGUCUUUCUAAAUGUUUCAACUACUACUAAUAAAGGGUUUGUCACGCCCCGGAAUACUCGUUUCCCCGGGCACGUCGACAAAUCCGUCGUAUACAAAGGAAUUUCUUCUGCAUACGAAGCGACAACUGUACCUGUAAUCAAACAAUACUACAACCAGCAGUAUAGAGCUGCUAGAAAAAUAAUAUAUAUAUAAAAACAGAAGUUCACUAUACAUACAAGCAUCCUGGUGUACAAAACACUUGCUCUGGCGAGAUACAACAAAAGUAUGUAUAUGAACUCAAAAACUACCACUACCUGUAGCUGGUAUACUCUAGCUCAGUAGCAACUGGGAAGGGAUCUAACUCGCGACUCCCUUUCCACGGUCCGAAUCAGCAGCAGCCGAAGAAGAAGGCUCUACAAAAGGUUCCAACAACUGGGCGUGAGAAUUACUGCAAAAAGAAGUAGUCCUCAGUGGGUACCGCUACCGACCUCAAU
rnacentral:lncRNA from 1 species